UACAGAGGCCCGUAGCGUUGUUCGGAAUUACUGGGUGUAAAGGGAGCGUAGGCGGGACUGCAAGUCAGAUGUGAAAUACACGGGCUUAACCCAUGGGCUGCAUUUGAAACUGUGGUUCUUGAGUGAAGUAGAGGCAAGCGGAAUUCCUGGUGUAGCGGUGAAAUGCGUAGAUAUCAGGAGGAACACCGGUGGCGAAGGCGGCUUGCUGGGCUUUUACUGACGCUGAGGCUCGAAAGCGUGGGUAGCAAAC
rnacentral:rRNA from 1 species